rnacentral:piRNA from 1 species
UUAUAGCCUGAUCAUUGUCCCUCCCUCUGUA